rnacentral:rRNA from 1 species
CCUACGGGAGGCAGCAGUGAGGAAUAUUGGUCAAUGGACGAGAGUCUGAACCAGCCAAGUAGCGUGAAGGAUGACUGCCCUAUGGGUUGUAAACUUCUUUUAUAUGGGAAUAAAACGUUCCACGUGUGGGAUUUUGUAUGUACCAUAUGAAUAAGGAUCGGCUAACUCCGUGCCAGCAGCCGCGGUAAUACGGAGGAUCCGAGCGUUAUCCGGGUUUAUUGGGUUUAAAGGGAGCGUAGGUGGAUUGUUAAGUCAGUUGUGAAAGUUUGCGGCUCAACCGUAAAAUUGCAGUUGAAACUGGUAGUCUUGAGUACAGUAGAGGUGGGCGGAAUUCGUGGUGUAGCGGUGAAAUGCUUAGAUAUCACGAAGAACUCCGAUUGCGAAGGCAGCUCACUGGACUGCAACUGACACUGAGGCUCGAAAGUGUGGGUAUCAAACAGGAUUAGAUACCCGUGUAGUC